rnacentral:rRNA from 1 species
GAUGAACGCUGGCGGCGUGCUUAACACAUGCAAGUCGAACGGAAAGGCCCAAGCUUGCUUGGGUACUCGAGUGGCGAACGGGUGAGUAACACGUGGGUGAUCUGCCCUGCACUUCGGGAUAAGCCUGGGAAACUGGGUCUAAUAACGGAUAGGACCACAUUUUGGAUGGUGUGGUGGAAAGUUUUUCGGUGUGGGAUGAGCUCGCGGCCUAUCAGCUUGUUGGUGGGGUAAUGGCCUACCAAGGCGUCGACGGGUAGCCGGCCUGAGAGGGUGUACGGCCACAUUGGGACUGAGAUACGGCCCAGACUCCUACGGGAGGCAGCAGUGGGGAAUAUUGCACAAUGGGCGCAAGCCUGAUGCAGCGACGCCGCGUGGGGGAUGACGGCCUUCGGGUUGUAAACUCCUUUCGCUAGGGACGAAGCGUUAUGUGACGGUACCUGGAGAAGAAGCACCGGCUAACUACGUG